GCGCAGCUCGCCCCCCCCGCGGCCAGUGGCCAGCAAGCCUUGGCUGCAGGAAGACGUGUUCUUCGUUCGUACCGCGACGAUCCUUCUAUCGCGGCUACGCGAGAGACUCCUUUUCUCUUUCUCUCCCUCUCUCGCUUGUGUGCGCGCGCGUGUUUCGUGUUUGUGUGUGCGUGCUUGAUCUCUACGAAGUGACAGUGUUUCUGACUCGGCCGUAGGACCCGGACAGUGAGAAAUCCUCGGUUGUCGCGAACUACCGAAUAAUUCGGUUCUGCAGCCGGAAUCGUGGCAGCCAUCGAGGACUCGACCGAGCCUUUCAGUGUUCUCUCAUUCCUUUCUCUGUUUCGCGCUACCGUAUUUCUUUACGGACAAGCACCGCCCCCUUUCCACCUCCGUCCCUCCGAUCGCAACGUUAUGAGGCCAGCUGAGCGUAACUGACGGCGAAGAGGGAGAACGAGUGCGUGCGUGUGUCAAACAUAACCUAAGUAUUAACACCGUGAGUACCGUGACUACCCCGGAUAAAACGUGGCUUAAUCGUUUGAAAUUUACUCAUCGAGGAAUGAUAGCAUCGCGUACUAAACCGUUAAACGCAUCGAGGAGCCACGAAAGCAUAGGUUCCUUUUCUGGCUGUUUCUGAAGAGAAAUGCAACGCCCCGUUUAUCUUUGACCGUGUCGUGGAAACGUGCACAAGGACAUCGACUUUGUCUCUUUCUCGAAGGUUAUCCUUGCACGUAUCGUUUUUGUCAUUGCGACGAUAAAGGACGCGACCACAGCCGCUGCGUCGAGCGUGUUGUCACGAAUUCCUCUUAUCCCUCGUUUCCCGCAAGCUCAGCCCUUCCCGCCGUACCUAUGAAAGCGCGCGACAUUUAAACGCGAAGUUCGAAAACCGAGUGAUACUGGAACAUAGCUUUCCCCAAAAACCCGUUGCUACGGAUCGACAUUUAAAUACCCGACGAUUUUACACGUUCAAAGUAACAAGAAUCACGAGUUUUUAAAUAGUGUCAUGGGACUAAAGAGUAAUACGACACUGAUUGACUUAUAAAAAAAAAAAAACGUGUAUUCGAAUCGAUAAGUCUCUUAAUAGUGCAACACAAUAAUUCCGGCGUAAUUUCGGUGAAACGGUGCUUCGGUUCGAACGAAUGUCCUCAUCGAUAACGACUUCGACGACGCGUGUCGGUGUUGCGUGCGUGUAAGAAUUCCAAGAUAGAAGUGUUUCCUGGGGAAGGUGAAAGAGUGCUCGCGAGACGUAGGAACGGAAGAAAUAAGGAACGAGUCGAGGCGUGUUCCGGCUUCCCUGAAUCAGCAGGGACGUUGGCGGUGGCGGUGGCGGUGAAUCGGGAAAGGGUUGAGGAGGGUGGCCCCUAGGGAGAGAGGAGAGCUUUGAUGGCAGUAGUUGGGCCCAGCCGGCACUCGCGGGUGUCCAUGAGCGUGUCUAUGUCGCUAAUGCAGGGGGGUGGGGCGGGGGCGACAGGCGGUGGCGGGACAACGGGGACCCAUCCGGGGCAAGCGGUCCUCGCAGCGGCUGCCGCGGCCGCAGCUGCGGCCCAAGCACCCCCCACCUACUACCACCCUGCCGCUCCUGCACCCCCGCCGCCGCCGCCAGCCCAGGAUCCCGUUCAGCCCGACAGACCCAUCGGAUAUGGUGCCUUCGGCGUCGUAUGGGCGGUCACGGAUCCGAGGGACGGUAGGAGAGUGGCCUUGAAGAAACUGCCAAACGUCUUUCAGAGCCUGGUGAGCAGCAAACGGGUCUUCAGGGAGCUGAAGAUGCUUUGCUUCUUCAAACACGAAAACGUUCUCUCAGCCUUGGACAUCCUUCAGCCACCGCACCUAGACUUCUUCCAAGAAAUAUACGUGAUCACGGAGCUGUUACAGAGCGAUCUGCACAAGAUCAUCGUCAGUCCGCAGCAUCUCAGCCCCGACCACAUCAAGGUCUUCCUCUACCAGAUCCUUCGAGGACUCAAGUACCUCCACUCGGCUAGAAUCCUCCACAGGGACAUUAAGCCAGGAAACCUACUCGUGAAUAGUAAUUGCGUAUUAAAGAUCUGCGACUUUGGUUUGGCCCGAGUAGAAGAACCUGACCAGAACAAGCAUAUGACCCAGGAAGUGGUGACGCAGUAUUAUCGUGCACCGGAAAUCCUGAUGGGUGCACGGCAUUACACGGCCGCCGUGGAUGUUUGGAGUGUCGGUUGCAUUUUCGGCGAACUUCUUCGUCGGCGGAUUCUUUUCCAGGCGCAAAGUCCUGUGCAACAGCUGGAACUGAUCACAGAACUGCUGGGCACACCGACCCUCGAGGACAUGAGGUAUGCUUGCGAGGGUGCGAGAUCCCACAUGCUGAGGCGUGCGCCGAAACCACCCUCGUUGACGGCCCUCUACACUCUCAGCAGCCAGGCGACACACGAGGCCGUCCAUUUGCUCUGCCAGAUGCUAGUCUUCGAUCCGGACAAGAGGAUCACCGUGGUGGAUGCAUUGGCGCAUCCUUAUCUCGACGAAGGAAGACUCAGAUAUCACUCUUGCAUGUGCACGUGCUGUUACACGACCAGCGGAGGGAUGAGACAGUACACCGGAGACUUCGAGCCGGCCACAUCUCACCCCUUCGAUGAUCUUUGGGAACGGAAGCUCACCACCGUGCAGCAGGUUAAAGAGGAGAUGCACAAAUUUAUAGCGGAACAGCUGAACACGUCGCGGGUGCCGCUAUGCAUAAAUCCGCAGUCCGCGGCGUUCAAGAGCUUCGCAAGUCGAAUCGGAUGCGGUAAGAAGAAGCCGGAUUAAAAAUGAACGUAGAGAAAAACGAAGGAAAGAAGAACGACGAAGGGAGAGACGAGGGAGAAAAUAGAAGGGUGAAACGGGCCGAGCGUAUCGUGAACGGAAAUUAAAAAACCGUGGAGAAAAGGAGAGAAAAGAAAGGCGGGGAGAGAAGGAAACGAUCGAAAGCAACCAGGAGGAAAACGAUCUUUUGUCCUGGCAGAGACUCACCCCUCUGACGUUCUUGUUCCUGUUUGCCUCGAGAACGAACCGAAAACUCGGCUCGCUUCCGCCGGUUCCGCGGGACGAACGAUUAACAAUUAACCCCCGGCGGAGAGUUAUUUUAUUUUAUUUUUUUCAAUACGUUCAGCACCGAUGAAAUCUUAAGACGGCGAGCUCGACGCGCAUAGUCGUGAAAUUUUAUCGCUCGCCUUCUUAGAGGAUAUCACCCGCGCUGAACUUGUUAAGAAAAUACAGGAAAAUGUUGUGUCAGCGAUGAUAGUAUCGAUGAGAGAGAGAAAGGAAGAGAGAGAGAGGACGAUCGAGCACAUGGUAGCUAACUUUUUCGCUGUGUGCGAUCUCUCGGCUCGUGGGAGGACCGGAAAUAGAUGGUCGAGAUUCUUUGAAAUUGAGAAGCUGAGUGAGAGAAAGAGUUUACAAAGGUUUUACAAAGUUACCGCAGACGAUUGUGAUUUCCCUUAGAGCCCCCUUAGAACAGGAAUCGAGCAUGGGGGCAAUCUCUCAAAGCAAAAUAUAGUACAUUAUAAUCCAAACGACCUAGAAUCAUAAUGAUAUUAAUUAAUAUACGAAUCUAUAGCGUUGCCAAAUUUUUCUAUAUUUACUAGAUGAUGAAAACCGUCAUUCUAAUUCGUUUGAAUUACAAAUAGUACUAUAUAUAUGGCGUUAGAAAGAUUGUCCCGAUGCUCGUCCGUAACCUUCGAGAGAGCGAAAGAGAGAGAGAAGAAAGGAAAAAGAUCAGAUAAGAAACAUUGAUUUAUUAUAUUUCAUGUGAUAUUGUUGAAAUAUUAUAUGUAACAUUUGUCGUGUUGCUUAUUGCCGUCAAGUUAGAGCAAGCCGAUCGCCGACCCAGCGCCCUACGCCGCGUAUACGUACACGUUACUACUACCACUACCAGUACUACCGAAUCAGCUAUCUACCACUGUCAGCUACUAUCGACUACUACCGCUAUCGUCUACCACUACUACUACUACUACCACUACUACUACCACUACUACUACUACUACCACCAAUCGUGUUACGUCUCCUCCUGAACGAACCGAACGAACAGAGAGUCAGCUCUAGUCGACGCGACCUCGCUCGCAGAGCUCCACGGUGGCUCAUCCCUCGGAACUGCCACCCUCCCCGCACCAAUGGGAAUAAAGAUAAAGAAAUCACGCAAGAGAUAUUAAAAGAGAUGAUCUUCACGAAGAAAGGAAAGAACGCACCGACUACGAGAAGAUUGCGUUCGCAUCGCGCGAAGACAACUAUCGAUGCAUGUGGGUACCGCGACAACCUGGAAGACCUAAGGACGGGCAAGAGAGAACAGAGUAUAUAUAUAAAUAAUGUACAGAAGGAAGAGAAAGGGAGAGAGGGAUAAAACGAAAUGAAAGACGUAGGGAAGGAUACUCGCGGAGAAGAGCCAAGAGAGACAAUAGACUGCCGAGCAAUUGAAGCCUCAAUUUUCGACUAGCCGAUAUAUAUAUAUAUACAUAGACGUAUAUGUAUAUAGAUAUCUAUAAAUAUAGAUUAUACAUAACACUGCUGUAAACGUAAAGGAAGAAUACGAACGAGAAGCCGUCAGAAGGUGGCGACAAAGAAGAUGAAGAAACAAGGGUGGAUGAGAUAACCGUAUCGGUUUCGAGGGAUACGAGCUUGCGCGUAGCUCGGCAAGGAGAAGAAGACGAGAAGCUGAGGAGGAAUUACGUGUACGCGUUAGCUUAUAAGCGAGGGUCGAAUAGACGGGCCAGUCUUCUUUUUUUUUAUAUAUAUAUAUAUAUAUAUAUAUUUUCUUUCCUUUCCUUUUAGAUUUUUACUAUCUAAACGAUCUAUCUCUCUGUAUACGUGUACACACAUACACGCGCGACAUGCGGCACAUUUCUAAUCGAAGAAAGGCGGCGUCGGGGGUCAAUCUUUUUCCUCGUCCUCUCUAGCCGUUGCUUCUUUCCUCGACGAAGAUCGACCGUGUAAAACGACCCCGAAGCGAAUCCUCCGUCGACGAACCGUUCCGUCAGAGCACACGGUGCUCCGGUUUACCUUGUAACUACCGAAGCGGAACGACGCUUCCCGCGCCAGAGAAAGCGUCCGAGAUCUCACUUUUGUUGUCGCGUAAGGACCUUUGUUAAGGAAACAGUCGUCCAUCGUCGACGGAGGAUCGAGUAGAGAAAUCUCACGCUUUUCGAAGUCUCGCGAUCACUCGAAGAGGAGGUAAUUAGGGUGAGAAUUAGGGAAAGUGGAUAAAACCGAAAGACGAGGCAUCCUAGCUAGGUCGCGUCACCGUUUCGAGGUCAACAGUUUCUGAACUGUAAUUCGAAUUAGUUGUAAGAAAUCGGGCCGAAAAGGAAGAAGCAAUCGGUGGAGGAAGGAGAACGAACAAUUGUAAACGCGUCGCUAACGGGCGUUUAUUUUUUAUCUGUCGAGCUAAGUCUCAGCCUGCGGGACGAUCUCGAUAAUUAGAGACAUUGAGAAUCGGUGAAUUUUUAGUCGUUUCGUGGCGUCGCUAACGAGAGCCUUAAAUGAUUCGCGCAAAUGAUACUCUCGUCAAUGGGGAGCAUUUUUCUUUCUCUAAUCUAGAGAAACGAUCUUCGAUCGGAAGAGAUAAUACUAGGAAUCGCGUGGAUUUCUAGGAGCCUCAUGAUACACGAUUUAUUCCAAUAAAUACAAUGCACUGCCGACGAAUCGUGGCGAGCGCGACGGUAUCGUGAACACGAGAGGAUCCAUCGUUCGAAUCGUCCGGAGUCGUCGUCUUUUUCACGUAGAUAGGUACUAUUUUUUUUUUUCUUAGUUUAAUUUCGAAAGCUACGUAUGUGUGUAAGCGCUUCCGUACGAGAUCUCGCCUUGAUUUCACAUGUUUUUUUUUAACAAUCGAAUCGGCCUCCGCGGUGUCUGAAUUACGGAUUAAUCGUUCCGCUUGCGAGAAUUCGAAUCGUUCUUCGAUCACGCAGUUUGUUGCUCGUUCAACAAAACGUCAUCGAGAAUUUUGUUAACGGGGUGUAUAGAUUGAAUUUCUAAUUCAGACGCGUCUCGAGGUCGGGCAAAAGGCGCACGAUACCCGUAAUUACGUUCUGAGUGUGAUUUUAGUUUAAGAGACUCUUAGGUAGCCAGUAGAUUUUCACGAGGAAAUAUCGUAGGAACUUAGCGAUUUUUAAGCAACGCGUAGCAUUUCGACGACGCUCGUUUCGUUCUGUAGAGAACGACAAAAGGAUAAAGCAACGCAUGUGUUCUCUUUUUUACGCAGACUCAACUGAUUUCUACUACGAUCUAAUCAACAAGAAUUCACACACACACACAUACACUACACACAUGUAUAUUGUAAUCGUUUUAAGUACUUGUAGAGAGAUUGAGUAUAUCGGGAUGAAAGGGGAACGAUACCAUCGCGACAAGCGACACGAAAAAAGACAGACUUUUCGAACGAUCAAUUCCUGAUCGCCGGUGUAUUUAAUCGAGGACUUUGGAAAAGUUGACAGAAAAAUAAUUGCAGAACGAUGAUCGUCUUUGAAAUAAAAUUGUCUAAUUUCGCGUGGAGAGGACACUGAUUUUAGCUCUCUGCAUCGACGUACUUUUACAAAUAGUUCAUUGUUACAGCGGCCAUCGGUAAUUGACGUGUAAUUCAAAUUAGAAAUGAAAAUUUCGUAUCGGAAUAAUUAUUCGGAAUAAUCGGAAAAAUUAUUUUAUUUACACGUUGGAUGUCGGGUUAAAUAAUUUCUGCAGAAAUCUCAAAGUAUCGAAGCGUCAAUCACCGAUGACCCAUAUAGCAAUGAACCUAUUAACACGCGUUUGCGAUCAUAAAUUAGUUGGUUUAAACUAACCGUGUUGAUGUAAUCUUUCGCUAAACAUCGAAUCGUUGCGACGCGGUACCCCCUCUCUUCUUUUUGUAAUUAAUAACGACACGAUCCAUAAUCGGGUAGCUGAGCGCUUCUCUCGUCAUUUGUAAAUAGAUCUCAUCGCGAUCACCGUGUACAUACGCUAAGUAGCUCAUGAACUGAAUCACCGCUGCAAUUAGCAACUGUAAAAAAGCGCGAUCCAUAAACACGAAAUUUUCUUAGUGUCUAAUUACGUCCGACUAAAUUAAUCCUCUGUCGUUCUACCAAGAAAGUAUAUCUAGGCUUCUUUUUAUUCGACAAAACCGGCGUUGUUAGGGACGAUGAAAAUUUCAAUAAACAAUUCUCCACCGACACUUUCGACGAACCGGAACGCGUUCCUCUUCGACUUUCUCUUUUAUAGAAUUUUAAUCUUCAACAAAUUCGUCGAACUGUACAAACGUUCUUCUUUUUUUUUUCUUCUUUUAAUGUAAUUUUAAAAAAUCUCUUCUCUUCCUGUUUUAUCAAAGACUCGUCGAUAUACAUAUUUUUAAGUCUCGAUUCUAAGCUCUUUUAUCACUUAACAUCUUUUUUUUAUUCAACUUCGUCGAAAGUUGUUCUCGCGUCAAACUUGGCGAUUAAUCGAUUGAAAGAAAAAAAGAAAAGGAGAGAUUUAUCUGUCCACCUUUCGCGAGCGAUAAGUCUUGUAAGAGGAACGCUGUGAUCUUUCGUCGAAAGUUGUUCGCAACGAUUCGAUUCGCGGUUUAAUUAGUCACACCGAAUGAACGGCACGGAAAACGAAGGAAAAAAGAAAUAAUUGAACGAAGUGAAGAGGAAAGCUAGCGUUACGAGAUGAAUGAAUGAGAUGAAGAGUGUACGAAUGGGUGGAAUUAAUGUUUCCUAUUAAACGAAAAAACGAAAAGAUAAUAUCUAGAUGAUUACUUAACGGCGAGAUGUGUAAAUAACGUAGCUCACUGUAGCUGGUCAGUUGGGCAUUUAAAUAAUACCACGAAACAAACAAAUAAAAAAAUAAAAAAUAAAAAAAAAGACACGCAAGUACACAAAAAAAAAAAGAAAGAAAGAAGAAGAUGAAGAAGCAAAAAGGGAAAAUACUUUGCACCCUUGCGUUGUAUAAUGUACACAACAUUUUUCUUUGUUUGUUUUAUCGAAGUGCGUCGAUUGUUUUCUUUCGACAUUCAGAAAAAAUGAUACUUGGAGGCUAGGUGAUAAUUGAUAAGUCGUAAGGUAAACUACGUAAAAAUUAGAUAACGUGUAAUUAAGCGACAAGAUUUGAAAACUCCACGUAUACUACACACACUAGCAAAUAUUGCCUUCAUUAUGGAAAAGUGGCUGGCACCGUGAUGCACCAAACAAUAAUGUUGCUACGGAUAAAAGAAGAAGAUUAAAAAAAAGAAAAAGUAAAGAAAAAAACGAUUGAAAACGAUGGUUCUCUUGUCUCCGAUAUGGCACAUCACUUAUCGUCACCUUCGUACUCUUACUUCCUCCACCCUUCUUCUUUCUUUUCCGCGUCCUUUCAGUUUCAUCGAAACGUUUCUUUCAGGUUUUAACCCCCUUCGACAUUAUCGAAUAUCGGUUCGCUUUAUCGAUCAUUUUCGUAUUUGCUCGGAGAGACAGACUGAUAUUGAUUAACCCUCAAACGACGGACCAUGGAGAGAACCCCGAUUCCACUUUAACUUCGUAUUUCAUAUUAUUAUUAUUUUCUUAAAUUUUACACUGUUUUCUCUAGAAAUUAUUCUUCCAACGUAUGAAGCUCUUUCGUUUAAAAAUUAUAUUUUACCAUAGGUUUUAUAAGUCUGGGUCUCGAUUGACCCAGACUCUGCUAUUCAAGGUUUAAUGUCGUAGAUGAAUAUUCAAAUAAAUUUGUCUCUCGAGAGUAAAUUGAUGUUGAUAUACCACAGAUAGGAAACAAAAGGCUAGUCUGUCUCUCUGUAAUCCCUAUUUUGUUUAAUUUAUUAUUUAUACAUGCACACACGUACACGUACACAUACACGUAUAUCAACGCAUAGAGAUCCGGGGCCAAGCGACGAGGCAAGAGGGGCGCGAAUAUUUGCGUCCUUUGAUCGAAGCCAAGCACCUUUCCAGCAGUUUCGUGUAUAUAUAAUCGAAACGAAGGUGGGACGGAAACGAGAAGGGACAUGAAUUCUGUCGAAAAAUUUAUUCGUAAUCGUAGCGUGGUCGACGACCUGUCGUUAGUAACUAAGAGGCCUUAAUAUAUUGCGUUUACGAUAAAAACACACAUACACACGUACGAAUCGAUUCGAGUGUAAGCGUAACACACACGUAGAAUAAAUAAGAACACGAGAAAUUGAUAUAGUACACAGCACGAUUUAUGAAAUGAAUAUCUAAAUUUUAGGGAACUUCCGGAUCUCGCAACGAUCGUCGAUGCUGAGAUUCUGGAAAAAUGAUUUUAACCGCGACACCUCGUUCCAUUCUGCGUCGAUCGACGAGAGAAAAAUUUAUUACAAAUCGAGUUCUAACUAUAAAAAUAGUAAGAACGAUAUACAAAUGAAAGCACAGUUAUCGAGACGCGUAGGUGUUGCAAUUGUUCCGUCACUGGAUGACAAAUUGUGAUUUGUUCUCGAGAACGUUUUGUCGACAGGAUAAUUAAUUAAAAGGACACAGGAAAAGCUAUUUUGAAUUUUUCAAUUGUAACUUGAUAGAAUAGACUUUUCAUCAAAAAUCAAUGAUCAACGUAGAAUUUGACGAGGCGACUCGUUCUUGUACAAAGAUACGUUGUUUUAUUUCUUUUAAUUUUCAAGAGUAGAUAGGUACGACUCACGAAUAGAACAAGAGAGGAAGGUCAAUAUCAUUCGCACGUGCCACGUUUACAGCGUAUCCCAUUCUAAAAAGGACUCUACCGAUCGUAGUUCUUCCCUGGAAAUACAAUUAUUCGCAUCAGCACUGCCAGUUUAGCAUCGUCAACGAAGAAAUCGUCAUCGACCACGUUUGGCUUAGUUUUCGCGUUCGAUCGAUAGAAAUAGUUCCAUUUUCACGAAAAAUCGUCCCCGAAAUUUUUCAUUUCGAAGAGAAAAACAUCCUCUGUCAAUUUCAUCAUAGCGAUAAGGUUAGAAAAUUUAUUUCACAUCUAUGAUUCUUUUUUUACAUUGUAGCUAAGUGGCAUAAAAGAUACUUCGUCACGUGCGUGUAAUAUCUGUAUAAAAAAAAAAAGAAAAAAGAAAAUUACGAAAGGUAACUCUACGUAAGUGUAAAUAUUAGCGUGUAACCUGAAGAAUUCGCGUACCUUGAAAGUAGUCUGAAGCCUUUUCACGAUUAGAGAAUAAAACGAUGUGUAAAAUGAGGAGACUCGAUUAUUUAGCAAAUCGAGAUAAGAGAAAAGUAUAUAAUCAGGCACAAGAAAGACAAAAGAUCUCGAUCGUGUUGUUGUACAUAGAUAGAGUAAACAUAGAGCACUCGGUUAAGGUAUAUCUUUAAGGUUCCAAGGUUUUAAUCGUGCAGGUGUGUACUUAAAAUUACGGUUCAAACGGGCGGACACACGUAUUUUCUAGGAUUAAGAAAUCGCCCUGGGGUCGACACGAUGUUUCUCACCCCUUUCGUGCGCCUUCGAAACUCUAGUUUUCUUUUUUCCUCUCGCUAAUCUUCCAUUCUCGAGCUAGCUUGUAAGAGACAAAACACAGGACACACACACACACACACACACACUCUAUACCACGAAACUCUUUCGAGAACCUUGGCACGAAACGGUUCGUUUUUACUCUCUCUCUUCAACAUCGUACGUAUGUGUAAAAAUAAGAAAAAAAAAAGUGGAAAAGUUGAAAAAAAUAGCUGGUAUUUAGGUACUAGGCUCAACGAUCCGGCACUUAUCGAUUUAAAUAGAGGAUUUAGCAGCUGUUCGAAUGUAUCGCGCGAGGAUAUAUUUUUUUGUAAUCCAAAAUAUCGUUGCGGCAUGGUUUUACUCACAGAACUCGAAAAGAAGAUACACUUUUCGAUCUCGAACAACUCUCGAAUUCUUCUUGAUCUGCGUGCACUCGUAUCUUCGAAAUGGCGGUAUUCGCGAGUGCAAGCAAUGAAUUUGAUGAAACACAAGUACGAGUGCUCGAUCGUUGAUCGAUUUAUUGAUCGUCUAUUUAAUGUUCUGCGUGUCUCCCUUGUUCUUGGUGUCUUGUACUUGUAAAUAAAUCUGCUGACUUAGCCUAUCGGAGUCCUCGUGUUUUAACGAUAACGAUAACAUUUCUCUGUGAUAGAUUUUUCAAUAAAUCCACGAGUUUCAAUUUUCCACUUGUAAACCUUUCGAGCUUCGUUCGUGAACGUGGGUUAAUCGCGAGACAAAAUGAAACGAAACAAAUUUCAUACAUUGAAAAUUAAUACUCAAAGGAUAGUAUACAAAUUUAGAAAAUAGAAAUAAUGAAUUUUCUUUUGUAAUUGUAUACAUUAUUUACGCGAGGACUGCUCGAGCGCGGUUCCGAGGCGGAAUAAGCGGAAGUGCGUGGAACUGCGCUCGAAAGGCGAAACUUAACCUCUUCGUGGACUCGUGCGUUUCAUUAACCCUUAAUUAAGGCUGCCGAUCAGCAUCGCGUCUGUGUAUAUAUAGUGAAUCUUCAACGGAUACGUGUAUGUACGUAAAGAAAUUUCAUAAAGUCGUUUCUACUAUCGAGUAUUCAGAGGCAAACGAGCAUCGUCGAUCCCUGUGCACUUUCAUUCGAGUUCGAACCACUAUAAAUUCACGGCCAAAGUAACGUUUAGAGAUGCUCGUCUGCCUUCUAAACACACACGUGAACACACCAUCGAUACUUGUACCUUUCUAAUGUGUGCUGAAACAUACGGGGUGCGACCUGAAUAAUUGCAACCCUUUUUCUCUAUCUUCGAGACACUGAAAUAAUGCAAAUUUUUGUAGUAAUUUCAAAUAAGAAACGCGAAUUGUUAGUUUGGAAAAUCUAAAAAAUAUUUAUUCGUUAAUCCUUGGACCGUGUAACGUAUACAUACAUGAAAUCAUUUUGCAUAAAAUGAAUUUUUAUUCGUGUCUACAAUUCACUCCGUAUGCAAAGCAGAAAACCGUAAAAUUUUCUCUUCCUUUUCUCAAUAACAUCGCGGAACUUUCUCGUCGGUCGUUUCGUGGAAAUUCGCGAAACUUGGCCAGAAAAUCGUCGAUCCUUCCGGUGGUACUUGUAUUUAAUUAAAAAUUGUAAUAUAUUAGCGUCUUUGCAAGAAUAGAGAAUCGAGGAUUAUAUAACAAUAUUCGUAGAUAAGAUAGGGAAACGAAGUAGAGAGGCUGAUCUACGCCGUGUAAUUUUUGUAUUUUCGACGAUCGUGGUCCCCGACCUGUACCAUUUACCAUAAAUUGUAAUUGUAAACAAGUACAAUUUUGCUCGUAACGCAGCGUUAUUAUUACAGUUAGUAGAGUACAGUGAUAAGAAUUAGGUACUCGUUUUGUAAUAUAAUGAAAUAAUACCAUCGCGUGGAUGGUUAACUAAUCGUUGCGAGGAAUACGACCGAUUUUCUGCCGAAAGAAAUUCAAUUGAAACGAAGAAAAAAAAGGAGGCAGAAUAUUUUCUAGAAAAUAAUUUUCCGACUAUCGAAAUUUCGACUAUCGGAGUCGCUCGAUUUUCAUCGAUUUUUCCACGAUCGAUCGACGAUCAAGUUCUCUUAUUUCUUCUUUGAUAUUAUUCUAGAAAACACGUGAUAAAACUCAAGGCCGUCGUAAGAAAGGCAAUGUGUACUCAAUGUAAAUAGGAGAGAGAUUGUAAAGAAGAUGAUUAUCUAAAGUAAUUAUUGCGUGUCUACGAAUGCCUAUCUGUUUAAUCUACGUAACGAGAAGGAAGCAGCUAAUUGCUGAUCAACUAUUAACUAAAUAACUAAACGGCAGUUUAUUCUAUCUGUGUGUGUCGGUUUCGAUUGGACAUAGGUUUUGUAUCACUCUUUUUCUCCGUGUAUGGUGUGUAGCCAGGGGUUCGAUUUCGGGGGAUGCGAGGGACACUCGAAUUCUCUUAAAAAUUUCUUUCAAAAAUCGUUCGAGUUUCAACACAAAGCUAUCGAAAAUUUAUUAUAAAUUUACUUUAGAAUGUUAAAAUCUUCGAUUUUAGGUUAUGAUGUCCAACCAUGUUGGUCACGUAUUAAUACAAAUUUGUUGUAUCUUUUUUUAAUGAACCAUUGACGGGUGAAAAAUGAAAAUUUUGUCCAGUUUCCAUCGAAAUCGAUCCCAUGAAUUGUAGAUUCAAUCGUGUCUUUCACAACUAAGUAGUGUUUGUAAAUUGAUUAUCCGAUAGACGGUGUCACGUUUCUUCGAAACUAGCUGAUAACAUUAACGUUAAGUACCGUGAAAGGAGAAAGAAUAUAAAUCACGGUGUAUCGAUUCUUAAGAAAUUGGUGAAAAACGAAUUCGAUGUGUACGCUAUCGAUCUUGAUCGCUGUCGAUAUGUUUCAAGAUUUAUCGUGCACAUGUCGUAGAUGUGUUUACACGCCGGUUGCUGGAGACCAGUUUUGAAAACUAAACGAGAAGAAAAUAAAUCUCUUGAAAAGAGGGACAACGAAAAAGAAAAGCUAUUACGAGUGUAAAUUGUUGGCUGACUCAUUCUUCGAUCCGAAAGUUAAUUAAUUAUAAAAUAUUGCUUCGAAAUGUUGGGAUGUUCAAUUUUAGAUCCAUAGAUGAAUUCCUGGGGGCCAUUGUUUCCUUUAAGUACCAUUUUGUCGAACUGACUUAAAAAUUCGAUAAAAUAAUAGAAAAUUAAAUAAAUUGAAGCAUGCUUAGUUGAACGAAUUUCAUGUCUUACAUUUUGCACUCGAAAUUAGAUGAUUUAGUUGCAAUGAAAUUAAAUGAUAUAAAAGUUCCUUAGGAGAACGAACAAAAUUGGUCUUGAGCCCUUGUUUUAUCUGCUAGCUGUAAAAACUUUGUAAAUUGUAAUCGCGUCGAUUUUUCCCGGCGAAGAAGCGAUCGAUCGAUCGAUCGAUACUUCUCGAUAAUAUGCACAUUUAUCGUCGUAGAGUGGAAGUUCACGGAUGAUCGUAGUCGAUUCCAGCCUUUCUAAUUUCCAGCGUCGACAAGUUUCGAUGAGAACAAGAAAAUAAUCAAAUAUCUCGGGAAACUAUGAAUCAAAAAGCGACACGUGCACACGAGUAAAGAAACGAAGGAACACAUAAACGUUUUUACACAUACACAGAGACACGUAUGCACUGUAAAAGACAGACGAGACGAUUAAACUUUCACGUUAAUUUUCCAUCGAGCGACAAAUGUACGAUUUUUUGCCUCGUGUAAAUUAAGUUUGUAAGAUUCUCCGAUUGGUAGCGUAAGGAACAAUCGAACACCAGCGAGAAAAUAAAUAUUCCUGCAAAAGAAAAUUUAUGUACAUGUAGUUUGAUUCAUGAAAACGCUUGGUUCGUAUUUUGCUGAAAAAUUGGCGAAAUAUUUUAUUCGAUCUCUCGCUGGGUUCGCGUGAAAUAUACGAGCCUCUUUUCAGAAUUUGAAAGUUUAAUCGAAAGUAUUUGGAAAUCGUUCGAAAUUUUGGGACGAUCGAUAGAGCGUACGCGAACGUGGCAAAUGAACAAUGAAUACUAAAAACAACAACAAGCACAGAAAAUAAAAACAAAAAACCAGAGUAUUGAAGACUGGCAAUCAAAACUAACGUAGGCAGAUAUAAAGCGCAGAUUUAUUCUAAUGUUUGGUGCGGUCGUGAGAGAACUUGUUUCAAAAUAUAAAUUUACGAAAUUCGAUUUAAAUAAAAAAACUUUGCGAAAAAAGACCGAAAAAGUGAAUCAAUAAAAAUUGUAACAUUCGUAUGUUCCGAUGACGAUCGUACUAAACGGGAUAAGAUGUGCAAGAAAACUAAAUGCAAAUUCUAUGCAACACUCCUUCGAAAAGAAAUACAUAGAUCGUACAGUUUUGCGAGUAAAAUGCGCGUCUAAUGUAACGCUAGUGAGUAGAUAGGUAGGUACCUGCAUUUCAUGAAAUUUAACAUGCUUGAAUAGCUCCUCAAUAAAUCGUUAUACAUGUUUUGAUAAA